rnacentral:rRNA from 1 species
CCUACGGGAGGCAGCAGUGGGGAAUUUUGGACAAUGGGCGAAAGCCUGAUCCAGCAAUGCCGCGUGCAGGAUGAAGGCCCUCGGGUUGUAAACUGCUUUUGUACGGAACGAAAAGCCUGGGGCUAAUAUCCCCGGGUCAUGACGGUACCGUAAGAAUAAGCACCGGCUAACUACGUGCCAGCAGCCGCGGUAAUACGUAGGGUGCAAGCGUUAAUCGGAAUUACUGGGCGUAAAGCGUGCGCAGGCGGUUUUGUAAGACAGUGGUGAAAUCCCCGGGCUCAACCUGGGAACUGCCAUUGUGACUGCAAGGCUAGAGUGCGGCAGAGGGGGAUGGAAUUCCGCGUGUAGCGGUGAAAUGCGUAGAGAUGUGGAGGAACACCAGUGGCGAAGGCGACUCUUUGGCCUAUAACUGACGCUGAGGCGCGAAAGCGUGGGGAGCAAACAGGAUUAGAUACCCUGGUAGUCCACGCCGUAAACGAUGAGUGCUAGGUGUUGGAGGGUUUCCGCCCUUCAGUGCUGAAGCUAACGCAUUAAGCACUCCGCCUGGGGAGUACGGUCGCAAGGCUGAAACUCAAAUGAAUUGACGGGG